rnacentral:rRNA from 1 species
GUGAGGAAUAUUGGUCAAUGGGCGGGAGCCUGAACCAGCCAAGUCGCGUGAAGGAAGAAGGAUCUAUGGUUCGUAAACUUCUUUUGCAGGGGAAUAAAGUGCAGGACGUGUCCUGUUUUGUAUGUACCCUGAGAAUAAGGAUCGGCUAACUCCGUGCCAGCAGCCGCGGUAAUACGGAGGAUCCGAGCGUUAUCCGGAUUUAUUGGGUUUAAAGGGUGCGUAGGUGGUUUGAUAAGUCAGCGGUGAAAGUUUGCAGCUUAACUGUAAAAAUGCCGUUGAAACUGUUAGACUUGAGUGUAAAUGAGGUAGGCGGAAUGCGUGGUGUAGCGGUGAAAUGCUUAGAUAUCACGCAGAACUCCGAUUGCGAAGGCAGCUUACCAAGCUACAACUGACACUGAAGCACGAAAGCGUGGGGAUCAAACAGGAUUAGAAACCCUGGUAGUCC